rnacentral:antisense_RNA from 1 species
CUCGUAUUUUAAACAAUAACUAAUACUCAUACCACGUACUUAAACCAUCAGAUUCAGAAUUAUUUAAAAUUCAUGAAAUUUAUUUUGUUAAACAACCAUCUUAUUUAGUUCAAUUGUGUUUACUGGUUUCCUAACUUUUCAACCGAGUCCAAAUAUUUAAGUGCAUCCUUAUUGUUUUCAAAAAUAGAUUCUGGGCUGUAUCUUUCCCCAAAUAAUAUAAGGCACUCAAGUAAAACAUCAAAUAGACUUCUAGCUUGAUCGUGUUUCGACUCAAUUUUUUGUGCAAUGGAUGACAUCUUUUGGAGUGAUUUGGUGUAUUUACGUUUAUACAAUUCCAAUAAACUGCUAUUAGUUUCAGAUUCUAACAAUUUACUAUAUCUUUCUGUUAAACUAACUCUAAACAUGAGCCCAUUUUUCAAUAGUAAGUAUUCUAAGUACUCGGAUGCAGCUUGUUCGCAAUCAAAUCUAGAAGGUUUUUUUCCUUUCUUCCUUGAAGAUUGAAUAUUGGCCAAAGAAGUGUGCAGAAUUUCGUGAUUUUCAUUUGAAACGGAUAGAUAAAUAAUGACUAGAUAAAGUCCGGAAAAGAGCCUUAUAAUAUUCAUGAUUUCCAAAAAUAAUAAUGCUUUAUUUGAUUUAACUGAGUUUUUAAUGCUAAUUGAUGAUGUGUAAUUACCUUUUAUUUGUGUAGUCUAAUGAUUUACACAAAUAUCACACAGGUGUACCACAAUACUAAUUUAAUGUCUUUGGAAGAUAUUCACUCAAAAAUAAUAGUGGAAUAAUUUGUGAUUACUCAACAAAAAAAAGAGAUUAAAUAGAAAAGGCUAAAACUGCAAGCUUUAGUCUUAGCAGACUUUGCAGGCUUUAAAUCAGAUUUCUCAAAAUCGAUAUUUUUUUAAAAAAUCUUCCACAAUGGCGGGAGCUAAAAUGGCAGGCAAACAAAAACCACAGUGGCGGGAAUGUGUAAUAAAGAAAGCAUAGAUGUAGGAAAAUUAUAAAUUAAAUAUUGUAUUAGAG